GAUGAACGCUGGCGGCGUGCCUAAUACAUGCAAGUCGAGCGAACAGACGAGGAGCUUGCUCCUCUGACGUUAGCGGCGGACGGGUGAGUAACACGUGGAUAACCUACCUAUAAGACUGGGGUAACUUCGGGAAACCGGAGCUAAUACCGGAUAAUAUAUUGAACCGCAUGGUUCAAUAGUGAAAGACGGUUUUGCUGUCACUUAUAGAUGGAUCCGCGCCGCAUUAGCUAGUUGGUAAGGUAACGGCUUACCAAGGCAACGAUGCGUAGCCGACCUGAGAGGGUGAUCGGCCACACUGGAACUGAGACACGGUCCAGACUCCUACGGGAGGCAGCAGUAGGGAAUCUUCCGCAAUGGGCGAAAGCCUGACGGAGCAACGCCGCGUGAGUGACGAAGGUCUUCGGAUCGUAAAACUCUGUUAUUAGGGAAGAACAAAUGUGUAAGUAACUAUGCACGUCUUGACGGUACCUAAUCAGAAAGCCACGGCUAACUACGUG
rnacentral:rRNA from 1 species